AGCACCAGAGAAAGAGAGUGAGAGGAGAUAGUAGUUCUGAAGGUGAAAGCCCAAGAAGGAGUUCUUGAGCUGUGAAGGUCCAUCUUCUUCCUUCUUUUCCCUUUCAGCCAACCUUCUGCCUCCCUGCGAGCUAGCACUCCCCGGGAAGCUGAUUAUUCCAAAGCUUUGCGAGUCAUCGAGGCCGGACGCUUGUGCGGCUGCGAAACAUCCUUGAAGGAACCCCCUUCUAAAGGUUUUUUGGCCAUAUCUUCCUUGUUCAAACUUCCGUGAGGUGAUUCAUGAAGUAUUGGAAGCUUACUCAACGUGGAACACAAUGAAAGUCGUUUGACGUUCAAACACAUUUGCUAAUCAUGGUGAAGCCAUGUUUGGACCGAGCACGAGACUUCUGUUCUCAUUGCAGCUUGACCUUACACCAAAAACCCUAACAUCAAUUACAAAAUUUAAGCUCUUGGACACUGUGGAUCAGAUGCCCAUCAUGUAAUGGAUGAAACUUAUGGUGCGAAGUUAGCAAGGCACAAAAUGUCAAGGCACAGGUGGUUUGCUCUGAGAGUUUUUGGUGCGACCAUGUUCUCUUCUUGGUGGUCUUUAGCCCUUUCUGUCACUCUUUUGAAAUCCUUUGCCAUAUAUUUUGAUGUAAGAUGAACCAAGGUCAUGUGGACAAAAAGUAAGGGGUCCUUAUGCCACAUAAGGGAGUUGUUCUUUUCCUUUCCCUAUUUAAUCUCUUAUUCCCCAUUUAACCCUUCAUUUCAAUGAACAACAUUUUUAACAACACUUGAAUCAAAACAGAUAUAACAAAAUUUCAACCAACCAGCAUUCAGACUAAACCUCAGAAUAGUAACAUUAGAGGGACAUUUACUAAUAGAAAUAGUCAUCCCACUUGUUCCUAUUCUAAGACCAAAUGUAGCAUUAUGGCAGAAUAUAGGUUGGAAAGAUGCAGCAUAUAGCUAGAAUUGGCCCUACCCGAGGAAAAGAGAUGGUUUUGCAUUUUGACAUUAUGCACUAUGUUUAGGCUAAAUUUUAAUUUCAAAUUUAGACAUGUGGAUUUAUGUUUGUGAUACUUGGACCACAAGGAUUUUUAAGCAGGUAAAUCCUUAAAUAGAAAAAAAGAACUCAUUUCUAAUGCAAAAAUAAUCAUCUUUGAUUAGAUCAUUGGCCUUUCCAAAAUACUUAGAAUUAAGCUAGUAAACAGUAAAAGUAUA